AACGGAGCUGCUGAGACUUUAUAUUAUUUGCCAAAGAUUAAUUUCUCUGUGCAGUUUGUGUGUAUGGUGAGAAGCGACCAGACUAGGCUGACCAUUUUAGUUGGAUUUACUACUAGGUAUUCAGCCCUUGAUACACACAUAGGUAUUACAGUCUGCUUAUAUUAUCAUAUUAAUUGUUGGAGGAAGAUGAAGGUAGUAGGUGUUAAGUGUAUUCAUGUGUACCAAGAAGCUCUAGGAGUUGGGAGGAAGGAGGAGUCCAGGGGCAUCCAUUGGCGGCGGCAGGAAGCUCAGGGUCGAGUUGGAGGUGAGCAGCAAGAGGCAUGCAAGAGGGUCACCAUCGCUGGAGCACACCAUAGCUCAGACCAUCACCACAAGAAAUGGAGUUUGACACCCUGAAUCAAACUAGGUAAAAGUUAUCUGAAUAAAAGUGUUAACAUGCUUGUUUGUGUGGUGUCUGAUGUGUGGGUGAGAGAAUGAGAGAAGAUUUUGAAUGGGUAAGGAAAAAUAUCAUUACGUGUUCUUUUUAUUGGGUAUCCAAGGAUCUGUUCAUUAUUUUCUCAGUUUUCAAAUAUGCAUGCACAUACACACAAUCUUCAGUUGAGUAUUAUCGCAAACAACGAAAGUUCAGCUGAACCAAUUGGGUGUCAUGGAUGUCUUGCAUCUCAGAUUUAUACUUACAAGAAAAUCACGAGUUUCUCAGAUUUUAGGCCACCAUGUAGAUAUCUUGGAAGGAUUUUCUUAAAGAAAAUAAAUGCUGGAGUGUAUGCUCAUAGGUAUAUGAGUUGUAAAGGAAUAAAAGUUUGGGUAGUGUAUUUAUACAGUAGCAUAGGUUGAGUCAUGAACACUGGAAGUACGCUCACGACUCAACCAGGUUCUCGGUCUUCAAACAGCAAUCAGCUGUGGUCUCUUUGUGGCUCUUUGUUAGAUACCAAGGAUUUUGUGGCUCUUUGUGUCAUACUAUGCUCCUCUAUUUUUCCGCUCAUGUUUACAUGGUAAGGUUACCAUCUCUUAAAUUCUAACACAAAUAUCAUUUUAUUCCUUAUGUUCUCAUGUGUCACAUGAUCCGCUGGUUAACCAUUUUUUCAUUUAUGUACCUACGACACAGUUUGUUAUUUUGAUUGCUCCAUCAGAGAGGUUUGCUCUUAUAUGUGAGGGAUAAUAUGAAGAUUGCCAACUAGACUCACACCAGAACGGUUGAGAGGCCAACACUUUCCGGUGGUGUUAGCUUUUGGUAUUGCAAGUGCCUAUUAAGCCUACUUUCCUGUGUUGUAGCCUUCGAAGACCAUGUUGUGACAAUGUCCAU